CCUACGGGGGGCAGCAGUGAGGAAUAUUGGUCAAUGGUCGGGAGACUGAACCAGCCAAGCCGCGUGAGGGCGGAAGGUACAGAGUAUCGUAAACCUCUUUUGUCAGGGAACAAAGGCGGGGACGUGUCCCCGGAUUAGUGUACCUUAAGAAAAAGCAUCGGCUAACUCCGUGCCAGCAGCCGCGUUACUACGGAGGGUGCGAGCGUUAUCCGGAUUUAUUGGGUUUAAGGGGUGGGCAGGCGGUCUGUUAUGUAAGCGGUCAAAGCCCGGGGCUCAACCCCGGCCCGCCGUUGAAACUGGCAGUCUCGAGUUGGAGAGAAGUAUGCGGAAUGCGCGGUGUAGCGGUGAAAUGCAUAGAUAUCGCGCAGAACUCCGAUUGCGAAGGCAGCAUGCCGGCUCCACACUGACGCUGAGGCACGAAAGCGUGGGUAUCGAACAGGAUUAGAUACCCGGGUAGUC
rnacentral:rRNA from 1 species